rnacentral:sRNA from 1 species
GACUCCAGCUGGCGCUUGCUCCGGUGACAGUGGCGGACCUCUGGUUUGUGGUUCUCAUAAGCGAUAUUUGUUGGGCGUUUCAUCCUAUGGGUUCGAGAAGUGUAAUGUGACUUACCCAUCAGUGUACAGCAGAGUCCCAGGCUUUACCAGAUGGAUAAACAAGAACAAACAUUUGAGCAAAAGUUAUAAACAGUAGAGCGACUGAUUUCUUGGCAAAACUAUCAAUAGCUCAGUGUGUGUGUAGUGUCUGAAUAAAUAUUUUAAAAUAUAUAUAAAAAAA